GUGUGCUUUGAGUUAACAGAACACAGGAUUAUCAACAGCGAAAAAUUCAAGGAGGUUUCUAGAACUAUGCAAGAUUCCGAAGAUUACAAGGGACACGACCACAAAUUUUCUGAGAGCAAAGAUCCUCAACGACAUAUGCCGAUACAUGUUUUAUUCAACAAUAUAUUAGAUAGAUUUAAGCUAGCUUUCCAAAGACCAAUUAAUGAACACACAAACCGAAAUGAGAGAUCAGUAGAAACUAAGCAAAACAAUACAAAUGCUACCAACAUUAAUAAUUCUUCAGAGAGUGACUUUACAUUAAUAACGACAACAACAGGUAUCCGACAAAUUAUUGUAAAAGCAAUUACGUCAUAUUUGUCGAAGGGAACCAGUUAAAUUUCAUCAGUAACACAAACUGAAAGUAAAAAGACAUGUGACAAUGCAGCAGCGUGUUUGUAUCCUUACGUGUCUUACUUUGCGGGAAUUGUGAUGUUUCUUCUUAUUGUAUACUUGAAUAUUGUAUUUGAAAGAUGUGUAUGUGAUGAUUCAUACCGAGUAAAAUGUAAAUAAUUUGAAAACAACAACGAAUUUCUGCAACUAAGAAUCAGACAAUGGAAUUAAUUCAUCCUUUAAAAUAAUGAAUAUAUUUCACAUAUCAAUAUAGAGAACUCAUUGUGUUUGGAUCAAAUUGUUCUAAUUCAUCACUGACAGACAAAACCUAGACAUUAUCAUAUUUUUAAACCAACUUUAAAACAAAUGUGACGAGAAACAAUUUAGGAAUACAACAUGUACAAGUUGACGAAAUUGAGUAGUUUCAAUAAAUUAUCAGCAGCGUCUUUAUCAACAUUCGAUGCAUUUUCCCCUUUUUUCUUUAACAAACAAAUUAAGGGUUUUAUCUAACGUUAAUUUAUUGAGAAAAACUAUUAAAAGGCAC
rnacentral:lncRNA from 1 species